rnacentral:rRNA from 1 species
UACGUAGGUGGCAAGCGUUAUCCGGAAUUACUGGGCGUAAAGCGCACGCAGGCGGUCUUUUAAGUUUGACGUGAAAGCUCCCGGCUUAACUGGGAGAGGUCGUUGAGGACUGGAAGACUUGAGGCAAUGAGAGGGGUGUAGAAUUCCCGGUGUAGUGGUGGAAUGCGUAGAUAUCGGGGGGAAUACCAGUGGCGAAAGCGGCACCCUAGCGUUAGCCUGACGCUCAUGUGCGAAAGCGUGGGGAGCGAACGGG